AUUUUCCGGUUGAUCCUGCCAGAGGUUACUGCUAUCGAGGUUCGACUAAGCCAUGCGAGUCGAAUGUAGCAAUACAUGGCGAACUGCUCAGUAACACGUGGACAACCUGCCCUUAGGACGGGGAUAAACCCGGGAAACUGGGUAUAAUACCCGAUAGGUCUCGAUUGCUGGAAUGCAUCGAGAUUUAAAGCUCCGGCGCCUAAGGAUGGGUCUGCGGCCUAUCAGGUAGUAGUGGGUGUAGCGUACCUACUAGCCUACGACGGGUACGGGUUGUGAGAGCAAGAGCCCGGAGAUGGAUUCUGAGACACGGAUCCAGGCCCUACGGGGUGCAGCAGGCGCGAAAACUUUACAAUGCUGGCAACAGCGAUAAGGGAACCUCGAGUGCCAGGUUACAAAUCUGGCUGUCGAGAUGCCUAAAAAGCAUUUCAUAGCAAGGGCCGGGCAAGACCGGUGCCAGCCGCCGCGGUAACACCGGCGGCUCGAGUGGUAACCGUUAUUAUUGGGUCUAAAGGGUCUGUAGCCGGCCGGAUAAGUCUCUUGAGAAAUCUGGCAGCUUAACUGUCAGGCUUUCAGGAGAUACUGUCUGGCUCGAGGCCGGGAGAGGUGAGAGGUACUUCAGGGGUAGGGGUGAAAUCUUGUAAUCCUUGAAGGACCACCAGUGGCGAAGGCGUCUCACCAGAACGGACCUGACGGCAAGGGACGAAAGCUAGGGGCACGAACCGGAUUAGAUACCCGGGUAGUCCUAGCCGUAAACGAUACUCGCUAGGUGUCGGCCACGGUGCGACCGUUGUCGGUGCCGUAGGGAAGCCGUGAAGCGAGCCACCUGGGAAGUACGGCCGCAAGGCUGAAACUUAAAGGAAUUGGCGGGGGAGCACCACAACGGGUGGAGCUUGCGGUUUAAUUGGAUUCAACGCCGGGA
rnacentral:rRNA from 1 species